GGAGAGAUGAGGAGAGAAGACGUGAAUGGAGAGAGUUGGUAGACCGCAGGACGGAGUGGACUUGGAGCGAGGGUCUGAUGGUCAGUGACGAUCCGAGGAGGUUGAUGGUGAACGAACGGCCUUACAAUGGGUAGAAAUUCCCCGAAACAGAGGAUGCAUAUCGGGUGUAAUCGUGUUCUUCCAAAAAAGGAGGUGCUGACACUAGCUACAGUUACUCUCUCAUUCAGCAGCAGACAAACAUAUUUGUCCUCAAUUCAUAAAACUCAUCAGUAAUGUCUGCACUGGGAAAGCAAUUGCUUCUUAUUUUACUACGUUCCCUUCUCAGUGAAGGAAAAUACCAAAAUCUGAUGGUUUCCCAGACACCGUUCAUGAUAAACGCACUGAAAGGACAGACAGUGAAAAUAAAUUGUUCCUACAGCCAUGAAAACUAUGAGCAAUUGUUGAUUGAAUGGCGAAGAAAUAACUCUGCACAGAAGCUUUGUGAUUAUAUUUUCAAUAGAAAUAUGAUAAAUUAUACUCAAUGCCAUUGUAUACAACGUACCAACAUUAAUUUGGACACCUCAAUGAAUUUGUUUAUAUUAACAAUCUACAAUCUUCAGUUGAGUGAUUCUGACAUUUACUUCUGCCGGGUUUUCUUUCAAAUACCCCCUCCGGUACAAGGCAUAGAGGGAAAAGGCACCAACUUAACAGUGGAAGCUUUCCCAAGGGUUUACCUGAAAGCUGAGCCCCUGCCUGCCCCUAACGCUAGAGUACAGCUCAACUGCACAUCAGUGGAGUUCUACCCGGGCAACAUUCAAGUGUCCUGGUUUAGAGAUGGACAGUUGAUCACCAACGGGACAGAGGAUGGGCCCCUCUAUUCUAAUAGCGACGGCUCGUUCUCCAUGGCAAGCUUCCUGAAUCUGUCUGUAUCUGACUGGAGUGAUGGUGGGAAUUAUUCCUGUCAGGUGAACCACUCAAGGCUCUCUAAACCUAUUGUCCAAUACAUUUCUGUCCAACUUGGAGAUAAUGAGAAUAUUACAUGCGCAAUAAAAACAAGAGUUGCUGUCUUAGCUGUGGCAACGUUGAUUGUGAUAACAGGACUUACUCUGUACUUCAAAACAAAAAACUUAACGAUGAAUUUGAACUCUGCCAAGUGUUCAAGCAUCAACUGUAACAUUCAUUAGUUCAACAAGCAUGGGAAACUUGACCUUGGGGUCCACAAGUGCCUAAUUCAAAGGUUACAAAUUUGAAUUUCCUAUUUAAAAUAAGAAUAAUUUACAGUACCUUUUGAAGUGUAUGAUUUUCCAUAUUUCUUUGAGAAAUCUUUCUAUCGAUGAAGAGAUUGUUCAUGAUCAAAAGAUGAAAUUUCACAUACAAGUUCUUUUGAAUAGCUAUUGUAUUCAGAUUAUUAUUCAUUCUUGUAACUCACCACGAGCUGUUCUUUGUGUUUGAGAAGUAAUGACCUAAAGCUUCAAUACCUUGGUUCCUUGGUCCCAAAUUUAUUUAACUAACAAAACUUCAAUUGUCUCAGUGCCAUAGUGUGAUUUGAUUUCCCAUUUGGAUUUGUAGUCCAGGACUCUUUUGCAUCAGUCUUCACUGUGAUAGACACUAGCAGUAUGGUGGGAGUUCCAGGUGUCAGGGGGCAUGAAGUGUGUGAAGUUUCCAUAACUAGAGAGAAGGCUCUUUGGAAACGGAAAGGUCUGAAGGAAGAUAAGUCACCUGGACCAGAUGGUGUACACUCCAGAGUUCUGAAAGAGGUAGCUGAAGAGAUUGUGGAGGCAAGAAUCACUAGAUUCUGGAAUAGUUCCCUAAGACUAGAAAAUUGCAAAUGUCAAGAAGGGAGAGAGGCAGAAGAAAGGAAAUGAUAGGCCAGUUAGUCUGACCUCAGUUGCUGGGAAGAUGUUGAAGUUGAUUAUUAAGGAUGAGUUCUUGGGGUAUUUGGAGGUACGUGAUAACAUAGGUCAUAUUCAGCAUGGGAAAAUCUUCUGGAAUUCUUUGAAGAAAUAACAAGCAGGAUAGACAGGGGAGAAUCAGUUGAAGUUGUGUACUUGGAUUUUCAGAAGGCCUUUGACAAGAUGCCACACGAGGCUGCUUAACAAGCUAUGAGCCUAUGGUAUUAUAGGAAAGAUUCUAGCAUGGAUAAAGCAGUGGCUGAUUGGCAGUAGGCAAAGGGUGGGAAUAAAGGGAGCCUAUUCUGACUGGCUGCCUGUGACUUGUGCUGUUCCAUGGGGUCCGUGUUGGGAUUGAUUCUUUUCACAUUAUAUGUAAAUGAUUUGGAUCAUGGAAUUGAUGUCUUUGUUGCAAAGUUUGCAGACAAUUAUGAAGACAGGUGGUUUGAGGAAGUAGCAAGGCUAGAGCAGGACUUAGACAGAUUAGGAGAAUGGGUAAAGAAUGGGUGAGAUGGAAUGCAGUGUUAGGAAGUGUAUGGUUGUGCACUUUUGUGGAAGAAAUUAAAGGAUUGACUAUUUUCAAAAUGGAGAAAAAAAUACAAAAAUCUGAGGUGCAGGAUUCCCCAAAGGUUAAUUUGCACAUUGAGUCUGUGGUGAGGAAGGUGAAUGCAAUAUUAGCAUUCAUUUUAAGAGGACUAGAAUGUUGAGACUUUAUAAAGCACUGGUGAAGCCUCACUUGGAGUGUUGUGAGUAGCCCCUCACCUUAGAAAGGAUGUGCUGAAACUGGAGACAGUUACAAGGAGGUUCUCAAAAACGAUUCCAGGAUUGAAUGGCUUGUCAUAUAAAGAGUAUUUGAUGGAUCCGGGCUUGUACUCAGUAGAAUUACGAAGAAUGAGGGGUGACCUCAUUGAAACCUAUCGAAUGGUGAAAGGCCUUGAUAGAGUGGCUGUGGAGAGGAUGUUUCCUAUAGUGGGAGAGUUUAAGAAUAGAGGGGGCGAUCUUUCAGAACGGAGAUGAGGAGGAAUUUCUUUAGCUAGACAGUGGUGAAUCUGUGGAAUUCUUUGCCACAGGCAGCUGUAGAGGCCAAGCCUUUAUGUGUAUUUAAGGCUGAGGUUGAUAGAUUCAUGAUUGGUCAGGGCAUGAAGGGAUAUGGGGAGAAGACAGGGGACUGGGGCUUGGAGGAAAAUUGGAUCAGCUGUGAUGAAAUGGCAGAAGAGACGCAAUGCGCCAAAUAGCCUAAUUCUGCUCCUAAAUUUUAUGGCCUUAUGGACUCAGAAUAUUAGUUCAAAAAUUUGCCAUAAUGCUACUGAUCUAUCCAUUUGAUACAAAAGAGCUGUACAAAUGAUCUACAUCGUGCUUAGAGAAGCACCUUUCUAUCCUACACUGAAUCAGGUUUAAUAGCACUGGCAUUUGUCAUGAAAUUUGUUACCUUUUUGACAGUAGUACAAUGCAAUACAUAAUAAUAGAGAAAAAACUGUAUAUACGUAAUAAAUAGCUAAAUUAAAUUAGUGCAAAAUAAAAAUAUAAAAGAGUAGAGAGCACUGUAUCUGCAGUGCAUCUUUGAUUGGGCAUGAACUUAGAAAUGUUGAAUAUUAAUGGAUCAUUUAAAUAUAGGACCUUUACAAAAUCAACUCGCAUAGCAAAAUCUGAGGUAACUCAGCCUAAUUCUUGCCGCAGUCCAAAUUAUAGCACCCAAUGUGGAUGCGUCCUUACUGAUCAACUCAAAUGUAGGCUUUGAAGUACAACUGAUCACCAUGAAAGCUACUGCUUGGCUUAGAAUGCAAAUGUUAAAUAAAAAGUACGAUUAAUAAUGUUACAGUGUUUAUUGACUUUGUGUACAAAAAACAGCUUUUGCUUGGAUUGUUAAAGUAUUAAUAAUCAAUUAACUGA